UAAGAUGAAAUCAUUAAUGAUGUUUCAUUUACAAUGAAAAUUAGUUUAUAUAAACCAUUUUAA
rnacentral:tRNA from 1 species